rfam:Larimichthys crocea isolate SSNF unplaced genomic scaffold scaffold42, whole genome shotgun sequence.
GUCAGGAUGGCCGAGUGGUCUAAGGCGCCAGACUCAAGGCUUGACACCUUCCUGAGCAAAGGGACUUCUGGUCUCCAAAUGGAGGCGUGGGUUCAAAUCCCACUCCUGACA